UGAGAUCUCUCAAACACUGGACCACCAAACAGGCAACAUACACCAGCUGAUAUGAGGCCCCCAACACACAUACAGCAGAGGACUUCCAGAUCUGUGUUCAUUCAGAUUCCCAAGGAAGAGGUGGAAAGAAGAGCACUACUGGGUAGUUUUAGCAGCAGUGCAGGUGAAUAUUGAUGAUUUGGAUGUAAAAUGUGCUAAAGACUCCUGUGUUUGAAUACUUGGUCUCAAGCUACUGUGCUGUUUAGGAAGGUUAUAUACAUAUAUACCCUUUCCUUAACUUUUCAGGUGCUUUAUCAUGGCAAUGGGAAAAAUAAUAGAGUGACUAAUACUGCAUUCUUGUGCAGCAGGUCAGCACACAAUGAAGUAAUUAUGUCAUUGUGAAAGCUUCCCUCAAUGGACACUGCCUGAGACAAAGGUGCAGCAGGCAAGUAAGGAUCAUUACCACGUGAGUCACUGCCUGCCUCAUUAGAUCACCUAGACAGACAUCUAGAAUUCUUUUCAGUACUUAACUUUAACUCAUAUUCACUCUUUGUAGGUUGGGAUUCUGAAUCUGUUAAAAACUAAAUGUAUGGAGGUGUAAUAAAUGAUGUGAGGAUUAUAAAUAACAAACUAUAUUUUACUUGUUAGAUGUGUGGAUUUUAGGAGCCCUUGUCACAAAAACAACAAAAAAUUUACUUGAGAUGACAUAGUUAUGUUAUUGAUUUUGUUAUAGUAAUCUCUUUACAGUACAUAUGAAUCAAAAUAUGCUGAUUACAAAAAUAUUUCCAAUAACUUUUAUUUUAUAACAAUUCACCAUAUAUAGCAUUUGUAUUUAUGCAUACUUCCUUAUGUCUGAAGUACUAAAAUAUCAAUAGUAAUUCUAACUGUGGAUUUUAAAAGUUUUAACUUAUUUUUCUGUGUAUGAAUGUUUUGCCUGCACACAUGUCUGUGUAGUACAUACAUGUUGUUCUCACAGAGGCCAAAAAGAGUACCAGACUCCUGAGACUUCAGUUACAGAUGCUGUAAACACCAUGUGGGGGCCGGGAAUUUGACUAGGUUCUCUGGGAAAGCAACCAGUGCCCUUAACCACAUAGCUGCCUCAUCAGCUCCUGUUGGUUUUCAGAAGCUAUGAACUUUACAGGAAACUACCGUUGUACACAUGCACAUAUACAUGUGUAUAUGCUCAUAUGAAUACAUACAGCUUUUUUUAUCCUUAAUUUAAACUCACAGUUACAAUUUCCAAACAAACAUACUUACCUCAACCAGAAAAACCAGCACGCACCAGAUCAGCACUACCAGUAAGCCUUUAUGGAGAGUGAAAUACCGUAGGUAUGUGUUCCAUGUUGUCACCGGGGGUAUCUUUAUCACAUCAUCAAGAAAACACUCCUGAGAAAAGAAGUGUGAUUCUGAGACAAUCCUACUCCAUGCUGCCACUGAGCUUUUAUUAU
rnacentral:lncRNA from 1 species